CUCGCUCUCUCUCCCGGCAUCUCACCACUGCGCCGGUGCAGGUUGCCCUCUGUGCUGUAAGGGAGCUGACCGGAUGUGCGAUCCAUGGGAACGCUUUUGUCUUUCAUUCACCGCCUGCUGACCUCCACUGUUUCCAACGGGAAGUCAGCCGUCAGUCUUCAGGCUGUCCCUGUGCCAUCGCUAAGCUCUCUUGGGACCAGACAUGGCCCGGUCCUGUACCGGCAUCUUGCCCCAGUCAUGGACAGAAAUGUUAGUCCCUGAAAAUACCCAGCUGCUGAGUAAACACUGAGAGUGUCUGCACGGGGACUCGACAACUUCCCAUCUGCUGACAGCCUUUGAACACCUGUCCACUCGGGGCUCACGUGGACGCUUCAGCAUUAGGCAAGGCUCAGUUUCCCCACACCGUGGGGGAAGGAUGCUAUUUUCUUCCUCUCGUACUCAGAGCGCGAUCUGAACCCAGGGCGGGCAGAAAACCCUCUCCGGCUUGUCCCAGGCGAACUGCUGUUCUACUUCCGUCCCCAAGCUUCUGGAGUGACGUUCCUACGCGCGGCUGCCUUCUGAGCUCCCCGGGCUCACGCACCCCCUCCACCCGUGCCCGCAAACCGAGGCUCACUCCCUCCCCCUGGGUCUGGGAGCAGAAGGUGACCGGGUUUUGUCUGAUAAGCAGAUUCCUCUGUUCCCGUAAGAUGGGUGGGUGCCUCGGGGCAGGGAUCGUGACCCCAUCCGGUCUGAAAGCCGCGCAGAGCCCUCGAUGGGUGUCGGCCGCUGCCGUCCUGGUCCGACCCCAGGCUUGUGAACCAACGUCACAGCACAGCCUACUGCCAGAGCUGUUCCCUUGACCAGACAUUCGUGCAGACGGUGGUUACGGGCCCCACCACGACAGUGCCAGAACAGACCGCCGAAGCACCUGCUCCCCAACCCCAGCCCCCAUGCAUUUGGCAUCCGAGGAAGAAUCACUGCGGAACACGCAGAAAUCUCCUCUCUCUGCUCAGUGUGGCACUCAAAUAAACUAUUUGUUUUUUGCUGGGGAAAGAACGCUGUUUUCAUAAACACCCAUAUUCACUUGAUAAAACUCUUUCAAUGCCUGCCACGCGUCAGAUCCAGAAGUCUCCUGUGGCCUUGAAAUGGGCUUCCGGUGAGGCUCUGGAAAUCCUCGGGAAACUAUCCCAGUUGGUGUGUAACAGAAGAACCCCUUGCAGACUCUGACCCCACUCAGCCGUUGCUGGGACCAUCCUCCUUGGGGGUCAACAGACGUCAAGAUAAUAAAAGUCCAAGCCCUUUGGAUCACCAACCCUAUUGGUAGUUUUUCUCUAAGAAUACACAAUCAUAAAGUCCAAGUACAAGGGUGUAUAUCACACAGAUGCUAAAAAAUAGCCCAAAGAUAAAAUAAAAUAAUCUAGAUGUAAAUCCAUAGAGAUUAUAAUAUAGCUCUCCCAAGAAAUAUUAUCCUGCCCUUUAAAAAAAUGGGUGUCUACAUGUAUUUACAUAAAGAGAUGGCCAGGUGUACUGGAUGGAAAGCCAUCCCCCCCCCCCAAAAAAAACACACGUUUACCUGGUUUCUAUGAGUGUGACAUUGUUUACAUAUAGGGUCUCUGGAGAUGUAAUCAAGUUAAAGUGAGGUCAUAUGGGAUUAGGGAGGGUCCUAAUCCAAUGACUUGUGUCCCUAUAAGAAAAGGGAAAUUCAGCUACGAACACACAGGGAAUAUGCCACGCGAGGAGGGAGACAGAGUUCUCCGUGCAGGGACACAGAGGAUUGUCAGAAACCUCUAGAAGCUGAGACAGAGGAGUGAAGCAUACCUGCCUCCGAGCCUCCAGGACGAACCCGCCCUUUAAGACCUUGACCUCAGACCUGCAGCCUCAGCCGUGUGAGAGCGAACUCCCCUGGUCGUUCCCCGGCUGGCGGUACUUUGUUUCACUGGGAUGUGAUCCCUGUAAAAUGUUAUGCAAAUUGAUACCCAUGUAUGGAAGCCCAGAAGGAUGCCUGGGCAAAUGUCUGGCAAAUCCAUCUUGGUGAUAGUCUCUGGGUAGUGGAAUCCGGAAUGGUUUCUCCUUAGUGUGCCUUUGUUUCAUGCCACUUAAAUUUUUUGCAACACUUCUUUUUUGAAAACAAUAAAGCUGUGUUCGUAAGACAAAUAUAGAAACUUACCUACUAGCUUGGGCUGCUAUCACAAAGUAGCAUGGGUCAAGCAACUGAAAUUAAUUUCUCAUAGUUCUUGCGCCUGGGAAGUUCAAGAUCAAGAUGCAGACAGGUUUGGUUCCUGGUGAGAGCCCUCCUCCCGACUUGGAGACGGCUGUCCCCUUGCUAUGUCCUCACGUGGCAGGGAGGGGAACCUCUGGUGUCUCUUCUUCUAAGGACACUAAUCCUAUGUUGGAGCUCCACCCUCGUGGCCUCGUGCAUAGCUAAUUAUCUCCGCAAGACCCCACCUCCGAGUCCCAUCCCACUGGGGUUAGGGCUUCAGCAUAUGAAUUUUGAGGGGACAUAGACACUCAGUCUGUGACAACCUAUGUGUCCAGCGGUGGGUGGCCGGAAGGCACGAAGAUAAUCUGGUGAUUCUCCGAUGCAGGAAAGAAAUCCUACAGUUUAUUCUAUCCAUAUUCUUCAAGCCACGACAGCCGUCUGCAGAAGACAGAGCAGCAAGGAGUGGGUGAGCUGAAGGGCUCUGCAGGUAAAUGGAGCUGGGUUCCAAUCCCAGCGCACUGUGAGCGUAAGCCACUUCCGUCUCAAAGCUUCAGCACCCUCCUCUGCAAAAUUAUGAGAUAAACAUCAGUCUCCCAAGGAUGUCGUAGCGGUCCAGUAAGUCAAUACCGAGAAGACUUUGCCGCGGUCAUGGGCAGAGAAUAAAGUUCCGUGAAGGAACAUUUA